CAUCUCACAGGAUGCGCAUGGGGAACGGAAGGGGUGUUUUGCCCUGACACUGGAACAAGAGCAAGUUUUGAGGACCUGAAUAUAAGCUGUGGAAGCUGCCUCAAUGUAAGGAAAAGGAAAGAAGAAAAUCCCAACCAUUCAUAUUUCUAAAGGAGUAAAAAUGUCUUGGUGCAACUUGCCUGG